rnacentral:rRNA from 1 species
GAUGAACGCUGGCGGCGUGCCUAAUACAUGCAAGUCGAGCGAACAGACGAGGAGCUUGCUCCUCUGACGUUAGCGGCGGACGUGUGAGUAACACGUGGAUAACCUACCUAUAAGACUGGGAUCACUUCGGGAAACCGGCGCUAACACCGGAUAAUAUAUUGAACCGCAUGGUUCGAUAGUGAAAUACGGCUUUGCUGUAACUUAUAGCUGCAUCUGCGCGGCAUUAGCUAGUUGGUAAGGUAACGGCUUACCAAGGCAACGAUGCGUAGACGACCUGAGAGAGUGGUAGGCGACCCUGGAGCUUGGCCAGCGUCAAGACUCCUGAGGGACGCAGCAGUAGGGAAUGUUACGCAAUGGGCGAGAGCCUGACGGAGCAGCGGCGCGUGAGUGAUGAAGAUCUACGGAGCGGAAAACUCUGUUAUGAGGUAAGAACAAAUGUGUAAGUAACUAUGCACGUCUUGACGGUACCGAAUCAGAAAGCCACGGCUAACUACGUG